UUGUGGAGGAGGACGCCGAAGGUGGGGCUAAUGACUGGGGUGAAGUCGUAACAAGGUAGCCGUACCGGAAGGUGCGGCUGGAUCACCUCCUAACAGGGAGACAACAAAAUGUUUAAUAUUAUUAUUUUGUCACCUUAGGUCGAUCGGUAUCUCACGUUCUUAAUUUAUUAAGGAUUUCAUUUCCUAAGUUUUUCUAGGUCACACCCAUUAUUUUUCCUGGGCCAUUAGCUCAGGUGGUUAGAGCGCACCCCUGAUAAGGGUGAGGUCCCUGGUUCAAGUCCAGGGUGGCCCAUAUCUCUAUGUUGGGGGUAUAGCUCAGUUGGUAGAGCGCCUGCUUUGCAAGCAGGAUGUCAGCGGUUCGAGUCCGCUUACCUCCACUGAUUACCACCUCUUCCAUAAUCUAUAGAAAGGGAAUUUUUUGAGUCGUGACCAAAUUCUGAAAGAAUCUAGCUUCCUAAUGAAAUCAUUAAGAUGCUGGACUCAUUGAAUUAAUUUCAUUGUUUUCAGAGAACCUUGACAACUGCAUAGAUUAUUUUUUAAAGACAAUAAGCAUCUUUAAUGAUGCAGAUUUAUUAUUUGUGCGAAUGCAUUAAUAACAAUUCUAUUAAGCUGAUGCUUCAAUUUUGAAGUUAUUGGUCAAGCUACAA
rnacentral:misc_RNA from 1 species